CCAUGGAAUUUUCGUUGAAUGGGCGUUUACAAUGCCUGCGUGGAGAUCCCUCACUCACUCGCAGGGCCUGUUCCAUUCACGAGCUCUGUUCAGGUGAGCAAGGAGAUGAGUGUUGGGCGUUGAGGUCUUUGGAUGGGGGUGCGACGUUGGAGCGAUUCGGGGUUUCUGAGUCCCUUUCGCCAUCUGCUAAGAACGAACUGGAGGCUGUCUUGGCAGCCUUUCCGUCUGUGAGUGCGCCCUCAGCAAGUCUUCCUCCAGCAAGGGAGUGUGAUCACCGAAUUGUGCUUCAACCAGGAGCUGGACCUGUCUCUGUGCGUCCCUACCGAUACAAUCAUUUGCAAAAAGAUGAGAUGGAGAAGUUGGUGGCCGAGAUGAUUGCAGCAGGGAUUAUACAGCCGAGCAACAGUCCGUAUUCCAGUCCUGUGCUGUUGGUUCGCAAGAAGGAUGGAUCAUGGCGUUUCUGCGUUGAUUAUCGUGAGUUGAAUAAGAUAACAGUACCAGACAAAUAUCCAAUACCAGUAAUCCAGGAAUUAUUAGACGAGUUACAUGGAGCAGCAUGGUUCAGCAAAUUGGACCUUCGAGCUGGGUAUCAUCAGAUUCGAGUGGCUCGAGCCGACGUACCCAAACCGCCUUUCGAACUCACUCAGGACAUUAUGAGUUCUUGGUCAUGCCCUUUGGUUUGACAAUGCUCCAGCUACGUUUCAGAGUUUGAUGAAUGACUAUUUUUCGACCUAUUUCUACGCAGAUUCGUGUUGGUAUUCUUUGAUGNUCUAGGUAUUGAGAAUUAUUAUUGUGUUUGGGACGGCUUGCCGUAGGCCUCAGUUGAGGAGAGAUAUUACAGUACGUAUUUUACUUCUUGUGUUCUGCCUUAACUCUAUCAAUUUGGUCCGACCUGCCGGAUCGAAAGAUGACGAUGACGAGAGACCAACAACGCAUGGAGCAGAUAGAGAAGGCACUGGAGGAACUUCGCGCUGCCCAGUCUGCAGCGGCGGCGAAGCAAGCAGCGUCAGAUUCUAAACUUGACGCCAUUCUCGCCCAGUUGAAAUCCUUUGAUCACUUUGAUCGGGGCCCCGAUCCCUCGCUGUCGGAGUCAGAAAGUUUCCCCCACUCCCGAUGUUGCAGAAGAUGGAGAUGCCCAGUUUCGACGGAUCUGAUGCUCGUGCAUGGCUUGCACGUGCAGAGCAGUAUUUCUUGGUGCACCAGACACCUGCGGCGAAGAAGGUGGAGUUCGCCGUGAUAGCCUUGUCAGGGUCAUCGAUGUCUUGGUAUCAAUUGCUGAUCAGGAGAAUACCUAAUCCCGAUUGGGUAACUUUUUCGCCAGGAGUUGUUGAUUCGAUAAUGGCGAUGAGUCCGCAAUUAACGGCUAUGAAGCCUUGCUUGCAGUCAAGCAAACAGGUUCUCUCGAGGAAUAUAUCGCCGCUUUUUGAGAAUAGGGUUUCACAAAUUCCUGAUUUCUCGGAUGCGCAUUACUUGGGAUUUUUCUUGGGUGGGUUGAAGAAGCAUCUACGAGCCCAGAUUCAAGAUAGUGUAAUUUUCAGCUAUUCAGCCGCUUUACAGGCUGCUCGAAAGAUAGACCAUGCGACAUCGCCAGCCCCACCGUCGAAUACUACAAGGUCUGUCCCCACGAUGAACUACUCGACACGGCCAUCUUACACGCGCCCGAGCCAUUCGGCGUCACAAGGUUCCAUACCUCAGGCAAGCACAUUGCCUACGUAUUCCCAAGGCUCAUCAGCUCCGCGGAGUUCUAGGAACUUUCGACAGGUCUCCAACGACGAAUUUAGGAAACACAUGGCAGCAGGAACGUGUUUCCGUUGUGGAGGAAAGUUUGGUCCUAUGCACCGUUGCCCUCCUAAAACAUUACAGGUGCUGAUCGGUGAUGAGGAUGAUGAGCAAAGUGACGAGCUGCAACAACCCCAGGGGGUGAGUUUGGAGGAAAAGGAACUGGAGGAGGCAGCAGAGCUACAGCAGCUCCAAUUAUCAGAACUAACGUCGUUUGGUUUUGACGGACCUCAGACCAUGAAACUGUUCGGUAGAGUAGGAGACACAAGGCUGUUACUGAUGGUUGACAGUGGAGCGAGCCACUGUUUUGUGUCCGAAAAGGUGGCCCGAAAGCUAAAUUGGCAAAUUGAACCCACAACUUCUUUUUCGGUGGUAUUGGGUGAUGGCUCUCGAGUUCGCACUGGAGGAAUAUGUAAGGAUGUUCCACUCACACUGGAUACUGAGACAUUUUAUAUCUCUUGCUAUGUUUUUCCUAUUUGCAGUGUGGAUAUGAUAUUGGGUGUGUCGUGGCUGGCUACCCUAGGAGAGGUGAAAGCAAAUUGGAGAAAUCUUACCAUGGAAUUUUCGUUGAAUGGGCGUUUACAAUGCCUGCGUGGAGAUCCCUCACUCACUCGCAGGGCCUGUUCCAUUCACGAGCUCUGUUCAGGUGAGCAAGGAGAUGAGUGUUGGGCGUUGAGGUCUUUGGAUGGGGGUGCGACGUUGGAGCGAUUCGGGGUUUCUGAGUCCCUUUCGCCAUCUGCUAAGAACGAACUGGAGGCUGUCUUGGCAGCCUUUCCGUCUGUGAGUGCGCCCUCAGCAAGUCUUCCUCCAGCAAGGGAGUGUGAUCACCGAAUUGUGCUUCAACCAGGAGCUGGACCUGUCUCUGUGCGUCCCUACCGAUACAAUCAUUUGCAAAAAGAUGAGAUGGAGAAGUUGGUGGCCGAGAUGAUUGCAGCAGGGAUUAUACAGCCGAGCAACAGUCCGUAUUCCAGUCCUGUGCUGUUGGUUCGCAAGAAGGAUGGAUCAUGGCGUUUCUGCGUUGAUUACCGUGGGUUGAAUAAGAUAACAGUACCAGACAAAUAUCCAAUACCAGUAAUCCAGGAAUUAUUAGACGAGUUACAUGGAGCAGCAUGGUUCAGCAAAUUGGACCUUCGAGCUGGGUAUCAUCAGAUUCGAGUGGCUCGAGCCGACGUACCCAAAACCGCCUUUCGAACUCACUCAGGACAUUAUGAGUUCUUGGUCAUGCCCUUUGGUUUGACAAAUGCCCCAGCUACGUUUCAGAGUUUGAUGAAUGACAUUUUUCGACCAUUCCUACGCAGAUUCGUGUUGGUAUUCUUUGAUGAUAUCCUGGUUUAUAGCCGUUCCUGGCCGGAACAUUUAGAGCAUCUUCGGCAGACAUUUCAAGUUCUCCAUAACCAGUCAUUGGUCAUCAAUCCCAAGAAAUGCC
rnacentral:lncRNA from 1 species